rnacentral:rRNA from 1 species
AUUGAACGCUGGCGGCAGGCCUAACACAUGCAAGUCGAACGAGUGGCGGACGGGUGAGUAAUGUCUGGGAAACUGCCUGAUGGGGGGGGAUAACUACUGGAAACGGUAGCUAAUACCGCAUACCAUCAGAUGUUCCCAGAUGGGAUUAGCUAGUAGGUGGGGUAACGGCUCACCAAGGCGACGAUCCCUAGCUGGUAUGAGAGGAUGACCAGCAACACUGGAACUGAGACACGGUCCAGACGCCUACGGGGGGCAGCAGUGGGGAAUAUUGCACAAUGGGCGAAAGCCUGACGCAGCCAUGCCGCGUGUAUGAUGAAGGCCUUCGGGUUGUAAAGUACUGUCAGCGGGGAGGCGUUACCCGCAGAAGAAGCACCGGCUAACUCCGUGCCAGCAGCCGCGGUAAUAC